AUUUGUGUUGAUGAUUGGCAAUGUUCAACUGCUCUGAGUCAGAAUGAUGGAAUAAUAAGCCUUUCUGAACAAAG